UUUUUCCCAUUAAUCUGCAAAAAUGAAGGCAUUUUGAUUAAUAAUUCAGGAGUGCUAUGAAGGUUAGAGCCAUACUUCGGUUGUGGAAAGGGAAGGCUCUUCCGAAAAAAAAGAGCAAAGAAAUCAUCUUCCACGACGAACAGGAAUCGAGCUACAUAACAGAGUAGUAUGUACCAGUUGAUAUGUUGAAGGUUAUCUCUAUAUUCCACAAUAAAAAAGAGUAUCCAGUAAAGGUCCAUUGUAUGUAUCAGUUUCUUUGUUGAAUUAAGUUCAUUGUUCAUAUUAAAUGAACUAUUGAAAAUAUGAAUAUGUUCGUGAUUUUUUUCUUUAUGUUUUUUUUUUCUUUAUGUUAUGUCCAUUGUUCAUAUAACAAAGUAGCAUGUACCAGGUUUUGUUUCUUUAACUGUGUAGUUUAAGAAAAAGUUGUGGUUCUUCUCCUUUU